ACCAGGAAUAGUCGACAAUGGACGAAAGUCUGAUCGCGCGACGCCGCGUGAGGGAUGAAGCCUUUCGGGGUGUAAACCUCUUUUAUUUUGACAUCGAGUCAUUUUGAAUAAGCGCCUACUAACUACGUGCCAGCAGUCGCGGUAAUACGUAGGGCGCAAGCGUUAUCCGGAUUUAUUGGGCGUAAAGUGUCGCGUAGGCGGUUUAUCGCAUCUUACUUUAAAUGGCCCCGCUUAACGGGGUCCCGAGUAAGAGAUGGAUAGACUAGAGAGCCGGUGGAGUUUUCGGAACUUCCGGUGUAGCAGUGAAAUGCGUCGAUAUCGGAAGGAACACCAAGAGCGAAGGCAGAAAACUAACCGAAUUCUGACGCUGAGGCACGACAGCUAGGGGAGCGAAGCAGAUUAGAGACCUGCGUAGUCCUAGCCGUAAACGCAUGGGUGCUAGUUGUCCCGAUUUAUAUCGGGAUGACGUAAGCUAACGCGUUAAGCACCCCGCCUGGGGAGUACGACCGCAAGGUUA
rnacentral:rRNA from 1 species